rnacentral:rRNA from 1 species
UAGGGAAUCUUCGGCAAUGGACGGAAGUCUGACCGAGCAACGCCGCGUGAGUGAAGAAGGUUUUCGGAUCGUAAAGCUCUGUUGUAAGAGAAGAACGAGUGUGAGAGUGGAAAGUUCACACUGUGACGGUAUCUUACCAGAAAAGGACGGCUAACUACGUGCCAGCAGCCGCGGUAAUACGUAGGUCCCGAGCGUUGUCCGGAUUUAUUGGGCGUAAAGCGAGCGCAGGCGGUUAGAUAAGUCUGAAGUUAAAGGCUGUGGCUUAACCAUAGUAGGCUUUGGAAACUGUUUAACUUGAGUGCAAGAGGGGAGAGUGGAAUUCCAUGUGUAGCGGUGAAAUGCGUAGAUAUAUGGAGGAACACCGGUGGCGAAAGCGGCUCUCUGGCUUGUAACUGACGCUGAGGCUCGAAAGCGUGGGGAGCAAACAGGAUUAGAUACCCUGGUAGUCCACGCUGUAAACGAUGAGUGCUAGGUGUUAGACCCUUUCCGGGGUUUAGUGCCGUAGCUAACGCAUUAAGCACUCCGUCUGGGGAGUACGACCGCAAGGUUG